rnacentral:rRNA from 1 species
ACUGCGAGUGAAGCGGGAAAAGCUCAAAUUUAAAAUCUGGUGGUCUUUUGGCCAUCCGAGUUGUAAUUUAGAGAAGCGUCUUCCGCGCUGGACCRUGCACAAGUCUCCUGGAAUGGAGCGUCAUAGAGGGUGAGAAUCCCGUCUUUGGCAUGGAUCCCAGGGCUUCUGUGAUGCGCUCUCGACGAGUCGAGUUGUUUGGGAAUGCAGCUCAAAAUGGGUGGUGAACUCCAUCUAAAGCUAAAUAUUGGCGAGAGACCGAUAGCGAACAAGUACCGUGAGGGAAAGAUGAAAAGCACUUUGGAAAGAGAGUGAAACAGUACGUGAAAUUGUUGAAAGGGAAACGCUUGAAGUCAGUCGCGUUGACCGAGACUCAACCUUGCUUUGGCUUGGUGUAUUUCUCGGCUGACGGGUCAGCAUCAAUUUUGACCCUCAGAUAAUGGCAAGGGAAAGGUGGCACCUUUUAGGUGUGUUAUAGUCCCAUGUCGCAUGUGAGGGUUGGGAUUGAGGAACUCAGCAUGCACCUCUGGGUGUCGGGGCUUUGGCCCACGUUACAUGCUUAGGAUGCUGGCGUAAUGGCUUUAAACGACCCGUCUUGAAACACGGACCAAGGAGUCUAACAUACCCGCGAGUGUUCGGGUGGAAAACCCGUGCGCGUAAUGAAAGUAAAAGUUGGGACCUCUGUCGUGGAGGGCACCGACGCCCGGACCAGACCUUCUGUGACGGCUCUGCGGUAGAGCGUGUAU